AUUGAACGCUGGCGGCAGGCCUAACACAUGCAAGUCGAACGAGUGGCGGACGGGUGAGUAAUGUCUGGGAAACUGCGUGAUGGAGGGGGAUAACUACUGGAAACGGUAGCUAAUACCGCAUACCAUCAGAUGUGCCUAGAUGGGAUUAGCUUGUUGGUGGGGUAACGGCGCACGAAGGCGAGGAGCGCUAGCGGGUCUGAGAGGAUGACCAGCCACACUGGAACUGGUACACGGUCCAUACUCCAACGGUAGGCAGCAGUGGGGAAUAUUGCACAAUGGGCGCAAGCCUGAUGCAGCCAUGCCGCGUGUAGGAAGAAGGCCUUCGGGGUGUAAAGUACUUUCAGCGGGGAGGCGUUACCCGCAGAAGAAGCACCGGCUAACUCCGUGCCAGCAGCCGCGGUAAUAC
rnacentral:rRNA from 1 species